GCGGAUGUGGUGAAAUGGUAGACACGCAUGCCUUAGGAGCAUGUGCCGCAAGGCGUGGGGGUUCGACUCCCUUCAUCCGCACCA
rnacentral:tRNA from 3 species